GGUUAAGCGACUAAGCGUACACGGUGGAUGCCCUGGCAGUCAGAGGCGAUGAAGGACGUGCUAAUCUGCGAUAAGCGUCGGUAAGGUGAUAUGAACCGUUAUAACCGGCGAUUUCCGAAUGGGGAAACCCAGUGUGUUUCGACACACUAUCAUUAACUGAAUCCAUAGGUUAAUGAGGCGAACCGGGGGAACUGAAACAUCUAAGUACCCCGAGGAAAAGAAAUCAACCGAGAUUCCCCCAGUAGCGGCGAGCGAACGGGGAGCAGCCCAGAGCCUGAAUCAGUGUGUGUGUUAGUGGAAGCGUCUGGAAAGGCGCGCGAUACAGGGUGACAGCCCCGUACACAAAAAUGCACAUGCUGUGAGCUCGAUGAGUAGGGCGGGACACGUGGUAUCCUGUCUGAAUAUGGGGGGACCAUCCUCCAAGGCUAAAUACUCCUGACUGACCGAUAGUGAACCAGUACCGUGAGGGAAAGGCGAAAAGAACCCCGGCGAGGGGAGUGAAAAAGAACCUGAAACCGUGUACGUACAAGCAGUGGGAGCACGCUUAGGCGUGUGACUGCGUACCUUUUGUAUAAUGGGUCAGCGACUUAUAUUCUGUAGCAAGGUUAACCGAAUAGGGGAGCCGAAGGGAAACCGAGUCUUAACUGGGCGUUAAGUUGCAGGGUAUAGACCCGAAACCCGGUGAUCUAGCCAUGGGCAGGUUGAAGGUUGGGUAACACUAACUGGAGGACCGAACCGACUAAUGUUGAAAAAUUAGCGGAUGACUUGUGGCUGGGGGUGAAAGGCCAAUCAAACCGGGAGAUAGCUGGUUCUCCCCGAAAGCUAUUUAGGUAGCGCCUCGUGAAUUCAUCUCCGGGGGUAGAGCACUGUUUCGGCAAGGGGGUCAUCCCGACUUACCAACCCGAUGCAAACUGCGAAUACCGGAGAAUGUUAUCACGGGAGACACACGGCGGGUGCUAACGUCCGUCGUGAAGAGGGAAACAACCCAGACCGCCAGCUAAGGUCCCAAAGUCAUGGUUAAGUGGGAAACGAUGUGGGAAGGCCCAGACAGCCAGGAUGUUGGCUUAGAAGCAGCCAUCAUUUAAAGAAAGCGUAAUAGCUCACUGGUCGAGUCGGCCUGCGCGGAAGAUGUAACGGGGCUAAACCAUGCACCGAAGCUGCGGCAGCGACACUAUGUGUUGUUGGGUAGGGGAGCGUUCUGUAAGCCUGUGAAGGUGUACUGUGAGGUAUGCUGGAGGUAUCAGAAGUGCGAAUGCUGACAUAAGUAACGAUAAAGCGGGUGAAAAGCCCGCUCGCCGGAAGACCAAGGGUUCCUGUCCAACGUUAAUCGGGGCAGGGUGAGUCGACCCCUAAGGCGAGGCCGAAAGGCGUAGUCGAUGGGAAACAGGUUAAUAUUCCUGUACUUGGUGUUACUGCGAAGGGGGGACGGAGAAGGCUAUGUUGGCCGGGCGACGGUUGUCCCGGUUUAAGCGUGUAGGCUGGUUUUCCAGGCAAAUCCGGAAAAUCAAGGCUGAGGCGUGAUGACGAGGCACUACGGUGCUGAAGCAACAAAUGCCCUGCUUCCAGGAAAAGCCUCUAAGCAUCAGGUAACAUCAAAUCGUACCCCAAACCGACACAGGUGGUCAGGUAGAGAAUACCAAGGCGCUUGAGAGAACUCGGGUGAAGGAACUAGGCAAAAUGGUGCCGUAACUUCGGGAGAAGGCACGCUGAUAUGUAGGUGAAGCGACUUGCUCGUGGAGCUGAAAUCAGUCGAAGAUACCAGCUGGCUGCAACUGUUUAUUAAAAACACAGCACUGUGCAAACACGAAAGUGGACGUAUACGGUGUGACGCCUGCCCGGUGCCGGAAGGUUAAUUGAUGGGGUCAGCGCAAGCGAAGCUCUUGAUCGAAGCCCCGGUAAACGGCGGCCGUAACUAUAACGGUCCUAAGGUAGCGAAAUUCCUUGUCGGGUAAGUUCCGACCUGCACGAAUGGCGUAAUGAUGGCCAGGCUGUCUCCACCCGAGACUCAGUGAAAUUGAACUCGCUGUGAAGAUGCAGUGUACCCGCGGCAAGACGGAAAGACCCCGUGAACCUUUACUAUAGCUUGACACUGAACAUUGAGCCUUGAUGUGUAGGAUAGGUGGGAGGCUUUGAAGUGUGGACGCCAGUCUGCAUGGAGCCGACCUUGAAAUACCACCCUUUAAUGUUUGAUGUUCUAACGUUGACCCGUGAUCCGGGUUGCGGACAGUGUCUGGUGGGUAGUUUGACUGGGGCGGUCUCCUCCUAAAGAGUAACGGAGGAGCACGAAGGUUGGCUAAUCCUGGUCGGACAUCAGGAGGUUAGUGCAAUGGCAUAAGCCAGCUUGACUGCGAGCGUGACGGCGCGAGCAGGUGCGAAAGCAGGUCAUAGUGAUCCGGUGGUUCUGAAUGGAAGGGCCAUCGCUCAACGGAUAAAAGGUACUCCGGGGAUAACAGGCUGAUACCGCCCAAGAGUUCAUAUCGACGGCGGUGUUUGGCACCUCGAUGUCGGCUCAUCACAUCCUGGGGCUGAAGUAGGUCCCAAGGGUAUGGCUGUUCGCCAUUUAAAGUGGUACGCGAGCUGGGUUUAGAACGUCGUGAGACAGUUCGGUCCCUAUCUGCCGUGGGCGCUGGAGAACUGAGGGGGGCUGCUCCUAGUACGAGAGGACCGGAGUGGACGCAUCACUGGUGUUCGGGUUGUCAUGCCAAUGGCACUGCCCGGUAGCUAAAUGCGGAAGAGAUAAGUGCUGAAAGCAUCUAAGCACGAAACUUGCCCCGAGAUGAGUUCUCCCUGACUCCUUGAGAGUCCUGAAGGAACGUUGAAGACGACGACGUUGAUAGGCCGGGUGUGUAAGCGCAGCGAUGCGUUGAGCUAACCGGUACUAAUGAACCGUGAGGCUUAACCUU
rnacentral:rRNA from 1 species